rnacentral:lncRNA from 1 species
GGAAAAGGGCAGGCAGCUUUGCAAUUGGCUCCCUUUAGGACACUGUCUCAUGCUUUUUGCCCACGACAGGGCAAAGAUUCUGCUGAGCUGUAAAGCCAACUGAAAAAAUAAAAUAAAAUCUUUUUCUUCCUUCCUCUACUAGGCUGCUUAUCUCCCCCCGUCCCCCCACCCCAGGGGAAGGGCACUUGAGGGGCAAAUGAUUUUCCCAUUGUUCAUAUUUUUCUGCAUAACUUGAACCUGUGUGUGUGUGUGUGUGUGUGUGUGUGUGUGUGUGUGUUCACGUGAGUGCAUUUUCUUUCUCCAAUUUUUGUGUAUUCUAAAUAACACCAGCUGGCUAGCAAUACCCUCUCAAGGGUUAUGAUGUCAUUCAAAUCUCUCAACUGGAUGAGUGGCCGGCAACAUGGUCCAAGCCAGCUGUUUUGCUAUUAAUAAUGUAUACUUGCCUUCACCAUUGAAAAUCAAGUCCUGAUCUUUUGCCGAUACAGUUUGUACCAGUUUCUCUUUGGUUUUGCGAAGUAGGAGAUAAGAAAGUGGAUUAUGAAAUAAGAUUGCAAAAGCUCAGGGGACCCAGACACACUGAUGCAUCAACUGAAAACAGAGGUCUGCUAGAAACUCUCGUCUGGGCCUUUAUGUUGUCUUGUGGCCAGAAAGCUGUUUGCUGAGCUUUGCAGAUCACACAGUUUGUGGGAAAAAAAAAAAAAAAAAAGCUCUACCUCCCCGCGUGUACUUUGAUGAUGUAGACAGCAUGAAGCUGAAGAACUGCACCCAUCUCGAAGGUGGAAAUAGCUGCCAUGUCCAUGUGUGCAGAGUCGGUCCAGGCUGUCUUGGCACUGAGUGCCUCACUCCAGCCCCCGCACCUUCGCAGGCAGGCACAAGGAAACUGAGAUUCGAAGAAGGAAGUGAAGCCCCUGGUAUCUCAAACACAUAAGGAGGAGGAAGAGGAGACGGCAGAAGGUCAGUUAUUGCAGAGCUGGGCUGUAAGAGUCAGAGGAGCCCAGACGCAUGGCCUGUUUUAUUCUAAUUUGAGCCCUUGACUUCAACACUUCCAUGUUUGCCUGGAAAAAUUCUCAUAAACAGAGGUGGGGAUUUGAUGGCUGUGAAAGUUAGAGGAUAG